UACGAAGGGGGCUAGCGUUGUUCGGAAUUACUGGGCGUAAAGCGCACGUAGGCGGACUAUUAAGUCAGGGGUGAAAUCCCGGAGCUCAACUCCGGAACUGCCUUUGAUACUGGUAGCCUAGAGAUCGGAAGAGGUGAGUGGAAUUCCCAGUGUAGAGGUGAAAUUCGUAGAUAUUGGGAAGAACACCAGUGGCGAAGGCGGCUCACUGGUCCGAUACUGACGCUGAGGUGCGAAAGCGUGGGGAUCAAACAGG
rnacentral:rRNA from 1 species